rnacentral:rRNA from 1 species
UACGGCUCAGUAACACGUAGCUAACCUGCCUUUAGGUCAAGAAUACCCUCGGGAAACUGAGGCUAAUACUUGAUAGGAGAUAGUUUCUGGAAUGAACCAUCUCUGAAACUCGUGCCUAAAGAAGGGGCUGCGGUGGAUUAGGUUGUUGUUGGUGUAAAAGACUAACAAGCCAAUGAUCUGUAAGGGCUCUUAGCGGAGAAGCCCUGAGAAGGAAUCUGAGACACUAUUCCUAGCCCUACGGGGUGCAGCAGUUAGGGAUUUUUUGCAAUGCGCGAAAGCGUGACAAAGCGAGCCAGAGUGUUUCUCGUUUAGAGAAACUUUUAUUAGCUGUAAAAAGACUGAUGAAUAAGGACUGGGCAAGACUGGUGCCAGCCGCCGCGGUAACCCCAGCGGUCCAAGUCGCAGCCACAAUUAUUGGGUCUAAAACAUCCGUAGCUUGUUCUGUAAGUCUCUUGUGAAAUUUUACGUCUUAAGCGUGAAGCGGGCAAGAGAUACUGCAAGACUAGAGACUGGGAGAUGUGAGGAGUACAACCAAGGUAGCGGUAAAAUGCGUUGAUCUUGGUUGGACUAACAAUAGCGAAGGCACCUCACAAUAACAGUUCUGACAGUGAGGGAUGAAGGCUAGGGGCGCGAAACGGAUUAGAUACCCGUGUAGUCCUAGCAGUAAACCCUGCGCACUAAACAUCGGUACCUCCUCGAGAGGUUUCGGUGCUGUAAGGAAGCUGUAGAGUGCGCUACCUGGGAAGUAUAGUCGCAAGGCCGAAACUUAAAGGAAUUGGCGGA